UUCCGGUUGAUCCCGCCGGACCCGACUGCUAUCAGAGUGGGACUAAGCCAUGCGAGUCAACAUAGCAAUAUGUGGCAUACGGCUCAGUAACACGUAGUCAACAUGCCCAGGGGACGUGGAUAACCUCGGGAAACUGAGGAUAAACCGCGAUAGGUCAUCACUUCUGGAAUGGGUAAUGACUUAAAUCUAUAUGGCCCCUGGAUUGGACUGCGGCCGAUCAGGCUGUUGGUGAGGUAAUGGCCCACCAAACCUGUAACCGGUACGGGCUCUGAGAGGAGGAGCCCGGAGAUGGGCACUGAGACAAGGGCCCAGGCCCUAUGGGGCGCAGCAGGCGCGAAACCUUUGCAAUAGGCGAAAGCUUGACAGGGUUACUCUGAGUGAUUUCCGUUAAGGAGAUCUUUUGGCACCUCUAAAAAUGGUGCAGAAUAAGGGGUGGGCAAGUCUGGUGUCAGCCGCCGCGGUAAUACCAGCACCCCGAGUGGUCGGGACGUUUAUUGGGCCUAAAGCAUCCGUAGCCGGUUCUACAAGUCUUCCGUUAAAUCCACCUGCUUAACAGAUGGGCUGCGGAAGAUACUAUAGAGCUAGGAGGCGGGAGAGGCAAGCGGUACUCGAUGGGUAGGGGUAAAAUCCGUUGAUCCAUUGAAGACCACCAGUGGCGAAGGCGGCUUGCCAGAACGCGCUCGACGGUGAGGGAUGAAAGCUGGGGGAGCAAACCGGAUUAGAUACCCGGGUAGUCCCAGCUGUAAACGAUGCAGACUCGGUGAUGAGUUGGCUUAUUGCUAACUCAGUGCCGCAGGGAAGCCGUUAAGUUUGCCGCCUGGGGAGUACGGUCGCAAGACUGAAACUUAAAGGAAUUGGCGGGGGAGCACCACAAGGGGUGAAGCCUGCGGUUCAAUUGGAGUCAACGCCGGGA
rnacentral:rRNA from 1 species